CCUUACCCCCGAUGGUGUGGGUUUGCUGUUUCUCCUUAUGUGAGCACACAAGACCUGUGCUCAUCUUAGGGGAUGCUGGAAAAAUAUGCCCCAUAGGGGCAGCGCCAGAUUACCCACCAAGCACAAUAAACAUGGUGUCCUACAGCUCAGAGUAACAUCAUAGGAUAGUAGAGAACAUCAGCUCUCCCACGUGCUGUGUUGAUCUAAGGUACUGCGGCGAUUCCCCUCCAGUCUGUUAGGACUACAGUAGCAGAGUGUCAGGAUGUGACAUCAUAUAUCUAAACUCUACAUCCCUAAGUAUAUCAUGUCAUAUCCUGGCACACAGCAGGGGGAGUUCACUGUUCAGGAGAUCCAAGUGAAAUGAGUUAAGGGUCAUAGAUGCAAAUAGUAAAUGUGAGGUUAGACAA